UGCAAGUUUCAACUAACAAACCGAAUAAAUUAAAUUAGUUUCGUGAAGUUUAUUCAAUUUCUUUAACGUUUAAUAGUUUUACCAAGAUGAUUUAUUCAAUAUCAAUAGCAUUGAGAUUCGUCUUAAUUGUUCAAACAUCGGUUCUCAUUGUUUUUGCAGAGCAUCUUAAUGAUUUACCCUGGUCGGUCGAUAAGGGUAAUUGGAUAAUCGAAGCAAAAUUGUAUAAAUCUUACAACGAGUUUUAUGACAUUCGUGAGUAUAUUUACUC